UUGCCUGAUUCCAGGCUGAGGUAGUAGUUUGUACAGUUUGAGGGUCUAUGAUACCACCCGGUACAGGAGAUAACUGUACAGGCCACUGCCUUGCCUGGGACAGA
ensembl:miRNA